CCUCAUUAAAAUCGUUUAGAAAUUUAUUCAAAACUUCAUCAAUCUUUUCUUCUAUAAGGUUUUCAACAUCACUAAAUACUUCCUUAGGCCAUCCAUUUGGAAGAUUCUGCAAAUAAAAUUACAUGAAAAUGAGCAUCAUCUCCAAUAGCCUAAUAUAUCAAAAGGAAGAGUGAAUAUAUAAAUUGGUUCUCGAAAUUAUGAGCACCUAUCAAAAUAGUCUUCGAAUAUUACAAAUUGGUCAAAUGGAUCCUUCGUUAACUUUGUCUUAUUAGAGGUUAUGAUGUACUCCCUCUUGUAAAAUCUAUAAGCAACUAUUCUUUUUUCAGAUUCAUUAAACAACUUAUAUAUCAUACAUCAGUUGCUUAAUGAAUCUGAAAAAGAAAUAGUGGCUUAUAAAUGUUACUGGAGUGAGUAACAUGUUAAAUUAACACGUGGCCUUGUACAUAGAUGCCACAUAAAGGUCAUGUCACCAAAAACUUCUAUGACACGUUAAAUUCAUGUAUAUUUUUUUUCUUCAAAUUCAUUAAACAACUAUCAUUUAACAACUGAUGUAUGAUAGUUGUUUAAUGAACUUGAAAAAAGAAAUAAUAGCUUAUAAAUAUUAUUGGAGGGAGUAACAUGUUAAAUUAACACGCGACCUUGUACGCAGUUGCAACAUAAAGGUCAUGUCACCAAAAACUUCUACGCCAAAUUAAUUUCCAUCUUAUACUUCAUAUUUUAUUGCCACGUGAGCUCUAUGUAAGAGGCCAUGUUCAUUUAACGUAUCACGCGAUAGGAUUAGGGUCUGACAAUAGAUAGAAUUUAGUAGAGGGACAUUUUGACUGAUGUGUUACAUUUGUAGUUUCUAGAAAUGUAUUUGUCAAUACUUAAAAGUCAAAUAUAUUUUGAUUAAUGCUCACAAUUUGAAGAUUAAUUUGCCUAAUUAUUCUCAAAGUCAAACAACAUAUAUACUUCAGAUCAAAUCAAUGAAACAUUUAUCUCAGAAAAUUUUCAUUAGUUUAAGUUUCCAAAUUAGCUUCCAAAGUAGUGCCACAUACCUCCAACUUUCCCAUGGAUGAGGAAACAUUGACAACUUUUGGUGAGCUUGAAAGCUGGAGAAGGGGAAUAAAUGCUUCAGUUAAGUCCUUGGCUCCAUAAUAGUUUGUUUUAAUACCUAAUUCAGUUUGUUCAUAUGUUUGAGUUAUUAUUUUACUCCAAUCAAUCUGGCCACCAUUUUCCUGCAACCAGAAACAAGAAAACUUUAUUUCUUAAAAUCGAAUUGAUGAAGGAAGACACAAAUUUCAAGGCUUGGCUAGAAAUUGUUAAAAAAUAUAUUGAAUACAAAUAAUUUUAGGGAAUGCUAACUUUAACACAAAUAAUUUUAGGGAAUGCUAACUUUUAACACCCUAAUUCCCACAUUUUAUUUUUAUAAUAAAAAUACAUUUACAAUAAAGAAACACAUAAGGGUGUCACACGUCUUCUAUAAAAAAACUUCAAAAGUACUUCAUUCAAAUUAAAAACAUAACAAUGGAAUAGUUUUCAAAAACUUUAAAGUACAUGUUGCAUCACAAUUUCAACACCAAAACUAAAUUCAAAAGAAUUCUAAAAUAGAGUCUAAAAUGAAAAGAAUCCUCAAUCCCUAGUGUCACUGAUCAGAGCUUUGACUCAAUAAAUACUCCUAAAAGCGAUAAACAAAAAAGAGAAAGCUCCAAUGCCAUCCUCCGAAACUCGGUGCUACUUACUUUUGACCACAUCAAGUAUCUUAUUCUCAAUAAUCAUAUCACAUAAAUACAAAUACAAAGCUACUACCACAUUUAUCACGGUUAAGAAUAUUACUAGUAAUUAACAUAUAAAAAGUACUUUGCUCAAAAAAAAAAACAUAUAAAAAGUACUGAUGUCUUCUUAAUUGGUUUCCACCACAAGAAUCUCACAAUUCAAAACAUGUAAAAAAGAAUAUAAAAAUCGUUUGAUAUAAAAAAAAUAUAAUUCAAAUAAAUCGAUUUUCAGGAACAUAUUUGUUACUAGUCAAAACAACUGGUUUAUAGCAUUCACAAAACAAACUUAAUUAAUUCAAAAUGUAUUGUUUGAUUACAGUGAUCCAAAAUCAAAUUAGCAUGAAUACAUAAGUUUUAUAUUAUUAAUCAUCGAUUUCAUAUAGAUUUCAGGCAAAUAUUUAUUAUCCGAAGGCAAUCACGUCGUGUUUAGUAACAAAAUAAACCUAAUUCAAUUUUGAUAUAGCACCGUAAAAAAUAAUAAUAAUAAUUACAGCAACAUGAAAAGCAUCCUUUUAGCACCGUAACCCUUCGUUACUAGUUUUAAUCUUUUCUGAUAGUUUCUCUCAAAAAAAACGUUAACUUAUUUACCAAUUUAGUCCUUUAUGUUUUGCUCUGUUCCUAAUUUUAGUCCUUUCUAUUCACGUUUUUUUGAGAGAAACUAACAUAAAGGACUAAAACUAGUGACAAAUCAAAACAUAGAGGACCAAAUUGAUACAAAUUAUAGUUAAGGAACCAAAUUGAGACAAUCAAUUAAGUUAAGGACCAGGUGAUUGAAUAAGCCUAAAAUUAAUAAAAUACGACCAAAUCGAAAACGAAAAUAAAGAUAAGGACCAAAUUAAAAGGUUUAAUAAUGAAGGGACCGACGGAUAUAUCAAGCUUAUUAACAAAAGUACAUCUAUUAAGUAAAACUGCCUCAGCUUUUGGAGAAAAGUAAUCAUACUUCAAUAUUAGCAGCAACAAGAGCCUCACCGUCCACUUCUGCUCCAGUAAUUCCAGCAUUAUUUACCUAAACAAAGUGUGUUUCAAAUAUUUGUAGUCAUCAAUCAAUAACCUAUAAUUUUUCAUUUGUAAAAAAUUUCAUGUGACUUGUAUCAAUGAUUUAUGAGACUCAUGGAUAUAGCUCAUCUUAAAUUAUCAACAAAGUCAAUUUUAAUUGAGAAUCUCCAAUUAAUUAGUUCAUUCUUAUAGUCAAACUCAAUUAUGAUCGAGAACCUCCUAACAUAUCAAAAUCAAUUUGAAGUCUUCAUAAUCACUUUUGAUUCUCUCAAAAUUGGAUCUAAACAUGCACUUCACUUUUUAAGUAUAUGUUUGGUUUUGCAUUGACAAAAACUGACUCUAAAUUUGAUUCUAGUUAGAUGUGAGUUGAUUGUAAAAUAAUUUAUGUUUAGAUACAUUAUGAUUAUGUAAAAGUGAGUUAAACAAUAAUUUCAAACCUAAGAUUUAUUGUAGAGUCAAAAGAUGCAAAUUCUAGUUUGAAGUUAAAAUCAAUUCAUAAGACAAUAAAUUAUUUAUACUCGAAUAGAUCCAAACAUGUCAAAAGCAAAGAUAAAUUUGAACUUACCAAGAUAUCUAGUUUUCCAAAUUGAUUCUUGAUAAAAUCUACAAAUGAUCUUAUACUCGCAGCAUCUAUGACAUCAAGUUGAUGAAAAACAACAAGACCAGGCAGAGAAAGAUGUUUCAGCUUCUCAACAGCUUCAAGACCUCUCUUUUCAUCUCUUGCAGUAAGCACCACAGUGAUCCCUUUAGAAGCCAAUUGAUUGCAUACUGCAAAUCCUAUUCCUUUGUUUGCUCCUGUAACAACUGCAUACCUAGAAACAAAAUUAACAAGGUGGUAUUAUGAGUCAUUGUCACUAAGCUUGUGGUUGAUCGUAUAUAUAUGUAAGGUAUAUUGAAGGAAAAAAAGGGUAAGGAAAAUUAGAUUAUACGUUGUUGUUGCCUCUGCCAUUGAUAUGGUAAGAGUGAGGUGCUAGCAAAUAUGAGUUGACCAAAAUGAAGAUUAUAAAUUAAUAUUGGUUUGUGGUACGUUAUGUUUAUAAUUUUGUAUCAAUUCCUUCAAAAAAAUAAAAAAUAAUUUUGUAUCAAUUGUCUUUAAAUAUUGGUUCCAACAACUAUGUUACCGGCCAAAGAAAUAAUUUUUUAUUUAUGAUAAAAAGAGUAAGUGAAUUGAAGCCGGACCUCAAAGUUAAAGAAUGUUUAUAGAGUUACACAUACAAAUCAACUAUCAAAAGAGAUGAGAGUGUUAACUUCUUAUCAACCGAGUCAAAAAUAUUUGACAUAAUUUUCUUUUUUGGUUUUUCGCAAUACAUGAAUUAUAUAAGCAUUGGUAUAUGUGUGCCCAAUGAUGAUGGAGUUUUUGUUCUAUCCAAAACCAUGAAUUUCUCUCUUUGGGUUAUGUUCCUGUUGGAGAAGCUUUAGGUUUGUACAAUGUCGACUUUGUGAUGGAUUUUAAAACAAUCAAUGACGUUGUUCACUUCAAUAGAUCUUAUAUUUUAGAAUUUGGUCAUAUCCUAUCAGGGUUCUAGAGACCCUUUCAUUCACAGUUCGCAAACUCUCGGUUGGAGUUCAACAGGCGAUAAACAAAUGCAGUAGCUCAUGUUUUAGUUGGAGAAGCCGUGUUAUCAACUAGUCUCACUAUUUAUUUUCAUAUCCCGCAUUGUACUACUGAUAUUAUUAUUAAUAAAAUGCUAUAAACAUCUCUUCUUUCAAUAAAAAAAAUAGGGAGUAAAUUUUUUCCCUUGUGGUAAUAUAUUUCAUUUUGCCUUGUUAAAAAAAAAAAAGUAUUUUAGUGCCCUAUUCUCAAAUGUAUGUAUAGGAGAUAUCGCUAGGGAUGGGUAGCGCACUUGGUUAAGUUAAGAUAUUAAAAAGUUAAGAAGCUAAAGGUAUAGGGUUUGAAUCCUAAAAAGGGAGAAAAUACUAACAUAUCAAUUAACAUACUACAAAGACUUGAAUUCGGAUCCCACAAUUGAUGAGAGAAUCUCAUUGAUGAGUAAUAUGUAAGUAACUAACCUCACGGUCCUAAUGAGCCGCUAAAAUACAACUCGCUUAAAAGUUAUGAUUUGACAUGUUUUAAAACUCGAGGAACCAUGUUGAUGGGAACAGAUGAGACUGGAUUUCCAUCGAGUCUGACUCAGCUACUCUUGUGCAAGCUCUAUUGUCUCGGAGCCAUGGUGAUUCGGAUUUCUAUGCUAUUGUUUCUAGUAUUAUUUAUCAGUUAUCUUUACAUUCUAACUUCGAGGUGAAGUUUGUUAGGAGACAAGCGAACAUGGUUGCUCAUACUUUAGCUAGGGCAACCUGUUCUUGGGCUAAUCACCAUAUUUUUUAUUCUUAUCCUACUUGUAUUGAACAUUUGUUGGUUAAUAAUAAUAGUUAACUUUAUUUUGGUAAAAAAAAUAAAAAAUAAACUCGAGGGACCAAAAAUGUGUAUUUUAAAUUGGGAGGACCAACAAUAGUAUAGAUGACAUCUACUAAUAUGGUGUGACACCAGGGGUACAUCUUUAACUAUUUGGUUAGGGUUCAAUUCCUGGUCGAACUUUAUUCUCUUUAGUGAAACACAAGUAGAAAAAAAUCAAUACAAAGUAAUUGUUUUCAGCCCAUAAUUAUCCUGCAUGUAUCUUUCACAAUUUGUUUUUUGACAACAACCAAUCUUUGAUCAAAAUGGUUUCUCUUCAUUUCUAACAAAAAAGUGACCAGAACUACCAUCAGAUAGCAAUGCCAACCUCAGAAUUGAUUCAGCACCUUCAUCAGGUGUUAGAUAACCUGUAUUGUAAAUAAUAUCUGUUUUCACAAAGCCAGGACAAACAACAUUGAUGCAUAUUGAUGGAUACUUUCUAGCCACAACCCUUGUAUAGGCAUUUAGAGCAACUUUUGAGAUAAUGUAAGUAGACAAAUUAUUAUCAGGCCAACCUUUGUUUUCUAGUGACCCCUCUUUAAAAUCCUUUAGAAAUUGAUUCAAAACUUCAUCAAUCUUUUCUUCUGUAAGUUCUUCAACAUCACUCAAUACUUCCUUAGGCCAUCCAUUUGGAAGUUUCUGCAAAUAAAAUUGCAUGAAAAUGAGCAUCAUCUACAAUAGCCUAAUAUAUCAAAAUAAGAGUGAAUUUAUAAAUUGAUUCUCAAAAUUAUUAGAACCGGUCAUAUAUAGUCUCUGAAUUUUACAAAUUGGUCAAAAGGAUCCUUUCGUUGAAUUGGUACUGUUAGAAGUUAUGAUGUAGUCCUUCUUGUCAUGCAUAUAAGCAACUAUUUCUUUUUUAAAUUCAUAAAAUAACUUAUAUAUAUUUAUAUAUGAUAUAUCAAUUAUUUAAUAAAUUUAAAAAAUAAUAAUGACUUAUACAUAUUACCAGAAGGAGUAACAUGUUAUAUUAACGUGUGGCCUUAGUGUGCAGAUGCCACAUAAAUGUCAUGUUACCAAAAACCUUCUAUGGCACAUUAAAUUCAUUAAUAUUAUAUCAUCUCUAGAGCUACCACCUCGGGAGCCACAAAUAAACUUGCAUCUUAUAUUUCAUAUUUUAUUGCCACUUGAGAUCUAUGUAAGAGGCCACAUGUUCAAUUAAGGUAUCACCUCAUAGGCUCAAACAAUAUAUAAAAGUUAGUAGAGGGACAUUUUGACACAUGUGCAGUUCUGUUUCUGAGAUUUUGAUGGUAUGAGGCAAAAGCACAACUUGGACGCUAUGAGCAUUUAUAAAUGCAAAGUCAAUAAUAAUUAUGUACGCAACAAUAUGUUAUAUCAUAUCUUUCUUCAACAAAAAAAAAAAGAUGUGAAGUUUUUCAAUAAUUUUAAUGAAAAACUUAUUUCUACACAUGCAACAAUCAUCGACAUAGAUCCCCGUGAGCUUUGCUUAGUUGGUAGAGAUAUUACAUUUUAUAUGCAGGGGCCGGGGUUUGAACCCCGAACACUCCACUUCUCCACAAUUAAAUAUAGGCACUAGACUAUUUGACAAAAAAAAAAAAUCAUCGACAUAGUUAAGAGAAUUUGAUAAGCAAUUGAAGCAUUUGACAAACUCAUGAAUUUCAAAUGUUGACAUCAACACAUUUAACAAAGAUAUUUGUAAUACUUUUAAUACAUAAAAAAUCAUUUGCGUCAACAUUCGACAAAUACUUAUGAAAAAACGCAGCCUCAUAAUUUGUUUAAGAUUUUUUUUAAUUCAUCAUUUCCAAUGAUUUUAAGGUUCUUGCAGCAAAUAAAAGUUCAACAAUACUUUUAAAUACUUCAAACUGCUCAAAACUAAUUUUCAAUAAAACUAUUGUCAUAUCAACAACCAUAAAAGCAAUGAUUGACUCUAAAUGAUUCCUCGGUGAUUGUAUUUGCUUAUCAUUAUCAUUAUCACCAUAUUGUCUUUUUCUAAAGCUGCAACACUUUGUCGAAAGUGUCGGCUCUACACUCAUAUCAAAUGCAAGGCUUUUGGCUACGAUCAUACUAGGUUUUAUUUCUAUAUUUUUCAAAGUAUAAGAUUAUACCUUACACUUUUUUUUUUUUUUUUUUUAAAUAUUGGGGCCCAUAUUUUAGAAUUAUUUUUUGGGAUAUAGGAUUGUUGUCCUCUUCACCCUGCCUUAGAUAUAGUCCUGCUAAUGUGUUACAUUUCUAGUUUUUAAAAAUGUAUUUGCUAAUUCUUAACGGAAAAGCUUCAUAUUUUAAUUUUCGAUAUAUUGAAUGUAUAAGUUUUUAUAAAAACUUACUAUCUAAAGUUCUUAAGGAGUGCCUUAGAACAGUCAUUGACAUUUCUUUUAAAAGUUAAAUACUAUUUUGACUAUGCUCACAAUUUGAGGAUUAAUUUGCCUAUUUAUUCUCAAAGUUAAACAACAUAUAUACCUCAAAUCAAAUCAAUGAAAUAUUUAACUUAGAAAAUUUUCAUUAGUUUAAGUGUUUCUAAAUAAUCUUCCAAAGCAGUGCCACAUACCUCCAACUUUCCCAUGGAUGCGGAAACAUUGACAACUUUUGGUGAGCUUGAAAGCUGGAGAAAUGGAAUAAGGGCUUCUGUCAAGUCCUUUGCUCCAUAGUAGUUUGUUUUAAUACCUAAUUCAGUUUGUUCAUAGGUUUGAGUUAUUAUUUUACUCCAAUCAAUCUGGCCACCAUUUU
rnacentral:lncRNA from 1 species